rnacentral:lncRNA from 1 species
AAGAAGCGAAGGAAAGUGGGAUAAGAAGAUUGUGAAAAAAGACACGAAACACUAUGAUCGAAAAUGGAAAAAGAAAAGGUUUGACGACGCACUCUAAAAAAAUCGGAAGUGGACUUGAAGUAGAAAGGGAAAGUGAGCUUUUUCGUACAAAAUCAGUGACAAUAUCUUAAAGUGAGAAGAAAGGAUAUAGAAUAAGUCUUUACUCGCGUGGAUUGUCGGCCAACUAAAAAACCAGAUCCAUGGAAAAGACGAUCUAAAAUUCUUGUUAAUGAAUUUACAAUUCUGUUUGGUGUAUAGAGGGCGUAUUUGCCAAAUUUGGACUCAAAAGGAAACGCUUUUUGACCUUCGUUUAUCAUUUGUCUGAUUCUCCUGGGAAUUCAGCGACAGCUCUCUCAUCACGCUCUGGGUGGCUACCUGUGUCUGGUUGAUCGACAAGAAGACCCGAUGCCCCAUCUGUCGAGGACCGAGAUAAAGCAAUUUGAAAGUAACUUGAGAAGAGUUAAAGAGUCAAAGAGCAAAACUCUUGUCGCUUUUAGCGAUGAGUUCACAUAAACAUAUUCAAAUAUAUAUAACGACUUGUACAUAAAAAAUAAUGCUGUAGUUUUAGGACUUUCUUUUGUUGCUUCUUUGCCGGGCUUCUUUGCGCCAAGACUAAUGAAGCCCAUUCUGCUACUCAAAAAUCUUUGUGACUGACGAAAAACUAGAUGAGCCCCCAUAAACCCCUACGAUAUUUUGUGCGUGCUAUUCGGCAUGAAAACUUAGGAAGCAUUUAGCUAAUAAUCUUAAACUGAAGCCCCAAAAAUGCCUAACAUUAUCAAUAUACUCAAGGUUGGUGGUAAUAGGCAAUGGGUUUGUUUCAGACUUUGAAUCGUUCGCAAACCCUUGAAAAUAAAGUUUGAACUUCACGCAAGCGAUGGAAGCCAUUCAUAAACCAUGUUCAUGAAACAGAAAUACUAAGAGGUAUAAAAUAAAAGGUUCAACGGUAACUGAAAAUAAAAAAAGAAAAUCGUUCGCAAACCCUUGAAAAUAAAGUUUGAACUUCACGCAAGCCGUGGAAGCCAUUCAUAAACCAUGUUCAUGCAGCAGAAAUACUAAGAGGUAUAAAAUAAAAGGUUCAACGGUAACUGACAAUAACAGAAGAGAAUUGGAAGGUUGAUGAAAUAAUGAGGCCUGAUGAUUGUGAUGAAGUUCAGGACAUUCGAUACUAAAGUUGGAUGGAAAAUGGGGAAAAUGGCCAUGGUUUUGGAAUCAGAGGUCAGUGCCUGAGAGCUGUUAAGCAA